CACGUAGGGUGCGAGCGUUUGUCCGGAAUUAUUGGGCGUAAAGAGCUCGUAGGCGGUGUGUCGCGUCGGCCGUGAAAACCUGCAGCUUAACUGUGGGCUUGCGGUCGAUACGGGCAUCACUGGAGUUCGGCAGGGGAGACUGGAAUUCCUGGUGUAGCGGUGGAAUGCGUAGAGAUCCGGAGGAAGACCGGUGGCGAAGGCGGCCUGCUGGGCAGUUACUGACACUGAGGCGCGGACAGCGUGGGGAGCAAACAGG
rnacentral:rRNA from 1 species